GACGAACGCUGGCGGCGUGCUUAACACAUGCAAGUCGAGCGGAAAGGCUCCUUCGGGGGUACUCGAGCGGCGAACGGGUGAGUAACACGUGAGUAAUCUGCCCUGCGCUCUGGGAUAGCCACCGGAAACGGUGAUUAAUACCGGAUAUGACCGCUACACGCAUGUGUUGGUGGUGGAAAGUUUUUCGGCGCAGGAUGUGCUCGCGGCCUAUCAGCUUGUUGGUGAGGUAAUGGCUCACCACGGCUUUGACGGGUAGCCGGCCUGAGAGGGUGACCGGUCAAACUGGGACUGAGACACGGACCAGACUCCUACGGGAGGCAGCAGUGGGGAAUAGUGGACAAUGGGCGGAAGCCUGAUCCAGCAACGCCGCGUGAGGGAUGACGGCCUUCGGGUUGUAAACCUCUUUCAGUACCGACGAAGCGAAAGUGACGGUAGGUACAGAAGAAGGACCGGCCAACUACGUGCCAGCCGCCGCAGUAAUAC
rnacentral:rRNA from 1 species